GCUGGGACACAAUUCCACUCAUCCUCUUUCUCCCCCACUCCUCUUCUUUCUCCCCCACAAUUUUCUCCAACCCUAAUCGCCACCGCCAGGACACAACCGCCGUCGACGACCUGCCCCCUCGACCAGGUACCUCACCACCGCCGCUUGGACACAUCCGCCGUCGACGACCUGCCCCCUAGACCAGGUACCUCAACGCCGCCCCCUUACCUCUCAUCGCGUCGAUGAGCUGCGUCGUCGCCGACUUCACUCGCCGCAUCCCGCUCUAUCUCAUUGACAUCCGCAUUUCUCUCGCCCCUUCCACCUAACACGCCCCAUCCACAUUUCUCUCGCCAACCCCUAAACCCUAACCAUCGCUGGAUUUGGGUCAUCGCAGACGACCUUGAUGGUGAACAUAAGGAGGCACAGAAGUCAGAAAGGUCCACAAGAAGAAGUAUCCUAGAAGUGCUAGAAACACAACCCUUGCUUCAAAGAAGAAGAGAAACCCCAACAUGGAUCUAGGAAUUAGGUUCAGCAAGAGAGUGAGGGCAGGCGAGGACACAAAGGGAAAACAACUGGACAGGAUGACUAAAGUUAUGCAAAGGAGACUGUCCAUAGCUGUUGAGGAAGGCAAAAAAAGGCCACAUGAACCUGUUCAAGCUGCCAAGUUUGCAUCAGAGGCUGGCAUCAUUAUUCGGGAAACCAUGCCUAUCCUAACUCGUUGGAAAGAUUACAAGGACGACCAGAAAUACUACAACAGCUUUGUGUCACAGCUAAAUGGGCGCUUGUCCGUUAACACUAAGGACAAGGCAACAAAGGAAGCUUGCACCGAUAUGCUACACUCUGCGGUAAAAAAACCAGCAUUAUCGGCUCAAGCAGCAAUACUUCAAUGGUGUACCUGCAAAUGAGAUUAGGACAACUUCUCCUGUAUCUUACAUGACUAAUGAACAGUGUAGGGCAUUAGUUGCAAAGUGGUCUGAUCCAAAGAACAUUGUAUGGGUAUCUUGUCAUAUAUUCUUCUUUCACUAUAAGUUUGCAAAGGAUCUUCGCAUAUUGAACCUAUGAUCUAAUCUGACAUGUUCAUUCUCUUGUAGGAAAUAAGUGAAAAGAACAAGCAGAACCGCAGUCAAGUCAAGUUUCAUCAGGCUACGGGUUCUCACUGCUAUGUGGCACACUUACAUGCAUAUAAGCAGAAGAGAAACAUAGAAGAACCCAGCUUAGAUCAGACUGAAGAACUAGAUGCGGUGGACGCCUUCAAGACCUACCAUACCAGCUCCAAACGUGUCCUGAGUGAAUCGGCAAGAGAAGCACUUUUAAGUUCAUUCGUUUGCUUUAUUUAGUGUAUUUUUUAUGAGAUCAUAUGAGGCAACACAGUUAAUCAUUCACUUGAAAUAUUGGGUAGAGAUCAAACACAUUUUGCAGGACAAUAUCUCUAACUAAGAAAGUUUUAGGAAGAGUUUUGCUACUCUCUACUAUCCUUCCACCAUUGAUGAGUUUCACAUUAUUGUCAGCUCCAAAUCUGCUAUAAUUUGUCAUCACUAGAUGUCACAUCUUAUCAGUUUUAAAUUUUCAGAAAAUAGAAAUUUUAUUGCCUGAUUGUCCAACUGACAGUCUUCUGGAAAGGAACAUGAUAUCAGAGAUCAUUUGUGCCUAAAUCUCUGCAUUUUUACCUCUCCAAAGCAAAUGCCAACUGCAAUCAGUUUCUGUCAGUGUAGCAUUGGUUAUUAUUUCAUUAUAAACACCUUGUGUCAUAUGUCUUCCUCAAAUUAUUGCAAUAACUAACAAUUGUCAUCUUGCUGUUGCUCAUUAGCAUUAACGUGUAACUGUUUUCUGUCCAUGAUAUUUCAGUCUCAUAUGGAGGCUUUGAGGGCUGAACCUGUUGCUGAAGGUGAGAUGCCAGCAUCCAGUGUGCACCUUGUGUCCAAGGUGCUAUCCCAGAGCAGCUCACACCAUUUCCUGAAGAGCGUUGGCAUCAAAACAUCGGCAUCCUCCAAGUCAUCAUCAUCAAAUCAAAGUGAGCUUCCGGAACAACUUGCAGCUGAAGCGACGGUUGCUGUUCAAGGUGAACUCGACCAACUCAAGAAGAAAUGUGAAGAAGCUAAGGAACAGCAGGCGAGGACACAAAGGGAGUUUGAGGAGUACAAGAAGAUAACAGAGAAGAACAACAAGGAGAUGGAGGAGACCAAUGUGCUCAUCAAGAAGCUCUUGCCCUUGCAUGGUAACGCUUCUUCUUCGACAUGAGGGCCGCUGGUCAGAGCUGCUGUGUUUGGCCUGUUCUUUGACAUGAGGGUACCCAAAAACUCAAGUUGAUCGUGGGUGUCAACUUUUUAUUAUAUGAUGUUAUGUUUGUGCAAACUCAACUGAAAUGUGAAGUCAAGUGGUGAUGUUGUGAACUGAGUUCAGUGUUGUCCACUUAGUGUGUAUGCUCACUGGAAUACUAGUUUUAUUCAUCUACGGAAUAUGGAAUUGUGUGCUCAUUCCUCUUUUCUA